GCUGGUCGGGAGAACGGCAAAGUCAAGGACAGUCUACACGAUCUAUUAAGACCGUGCUAAACAUUCCUUCAGAAGCUGGAAUCAGAAUUAAUGGAGAAAACAGCCCACAAUGGAGGUGAAAGGGCCAAGACAGGUGAAGUGGUGGCUGAUAAUCGUCUUCUUACGCCAUAGAAAGAGAAAGCAGCUCAGCUCGUUGGAUAAGACCAUAACUGCACAUGUGGUGAUGCCGAAAGCUCCAUGUCCUGGUAACCAAGCAUGAUUGGCACCCACACAGCCACUGCCAACAAGAGAAAAGCCCCUCUGGAUAUCAGCUCUUAUCCCAUCUAUUAGGGAGAUACCAGUGAUCCCUUAGAGGAUGUACCAGCAAGACU